rnacentral:rRNA from 1 species
GAUGAACGCUAGCGGCAGGCUUAACACAUGCAAGUCGAGGGGUAUAGUUCUUCGGAGCUAGAGACCGGCGCACGGGUGCGUAACGCGUAUGCAAUCUACCUUUUGCAGAGGGAUAGCCCAGAGAAAUUUGGAUUAAUACCUCAUGGUAGGUGAGAAUGGCAUCAUUUUCACAUUAAAGUCACAACGGCAAAAGAUGAGCAUGCGUCCCAUUAGCUAGUUGGUAAGGUAACGGCUUACCAAGGCAACGAUGGGUAGGGGUCCUGAGAGGGAGAUCCCCCAGACUGGUACUGAGACCAGGACCAGACUCCUACGGGAGGCAGCAGUGAGGAAUAUUGGACAAUGGGCGCAAGCCUGAUCCAGCCAUGCCGCGUGCAGGAUGACGGUCCUAUGGAUUGUAAACUGCUUUUGUACAGGAAGAAACACUGGUUCGUGAACCAGCUUGACGGUACUGUAAGAAUAAGGAUCGGCUAACUCCGUGCCAGCAGCCGCGGUAAUAC